GAGGGAAAGAAAGAAAAGAGAAGAAGAAGAAUGGGAAGAAAUAGAGGAAGGAACUGUCGUGGGAAAAGUGGAAGGGUUUCCAGAAAAACUUAUUUUUCCGAAAGAAAAUUUGCGAUUUUUCCCUCAUUCUCUUUCUAA
rnacentral:ribozyme from 1 species